UACGUAGGGGGCAAGCGUUGUCCGGAAUUAUUGGGCGUAAAGCGCGCGCAGGCGGUUUUGUAAGUCUGGUGUUUAAACCUAGGGCUCAACCCUGGGUCGCAUUGGAAACUGCAAGGCUUGAGUGCAGAAGAGGAGAGUGGAAUUCCACGUGUAGCGGUGAAAUGCGUAGAGAUGUGGAGGAACACCAGUGGCGAAGGCGACUCUCUGGGCUGUAACUGACGCUGAGGCGCGAAAGCGUGGGGAGCAAACAGG
rnacentral:rRNA from 1 species